rnacentral:rRNA from 1 species
UACAGGGGGGGCAAGCGUUGUUCGGAAUUAUUGGGCGUAAAGGGCGCGUAGGCGGCUUGACAAGUCAAAGGUGAAAUCCCUCGGCUCAACUGAGGAACUGCCUUUGAAACUGUCUGGCUUGAGGCCGGGAGGGGGUAGCGGAAUUCCCAGUGUAGCGGUGAAAUGCGUAGAUAUUGGGAGGAACACCAGUGGCGAAGGCGGCUACCUGGACCGGUUCUGACGCUGAUGCGCGAAAGCGUGGGUAGCAAACAGG